rnacentral:rRNA from 1 species
UACGGGGGGAGCAAGCGUUGUUCGGAUUUACUGGGCGUAAAGGGCGCGCAGGCGGCUACGCACGUCCGUUGUGAAAUCGCCCGGCUCAACUGGGCGGGGUCAGCGGAUACGGCGUAGCUGGAGCAAGCUAGGGGGCAAUGGAAUUCCCGGUGUAGUGGUGGAAUGCGUAGAUAGUCGGGAGGAACACCAGUGGCGAAGGCGGUUGCCUGGAGCUUUGCUGACGCUGAGGCGCGAAAGCGUGGGGAGCGAUCCGG